UUUCUGUAGGUGAACCUGCGGAAGGAUCAUUAUUGAAUUUUAAUGAGGAGCUGGUUGUUGCUGGCUUUGGGAUUUUUUUAAUAAAUUGUUACAGGCCCUUGUGCACACCUUCUCUUUCAUCCACACACACCUGUGCACUUGUGAGACAGACUGUGGGGACUUUAUUGAACCCCGUCUGUCUACUUUAUUUACACACACUCUAUUUAAUUUAAACUGAAUGUAAUUGAUGUAACGCAUCUAAUACUAAGUUUCAACAACGGAUCUCUUGGCUCUCGCAUCGAUGAAGAACGCAGC
rnacentral:misc_RNA from 1 species